CGGGUAACGGCCCACCAAGGCGACGAUGCGUAGGGGUUCUGAGAGGAAGGUCCCCCACACUGGUACUGAGACACGGACCAGACUCCUACGGGAGGCAGCAGUGAGGAAUAUUGGUCAAUGGGCGCGAGCCUGAACCAGCCAAGUCGCGUGAGGGAAGACGGUCCUAUGGAUUGUAAACCUCUUUUGUCGGGGAGCAAAAGACGCCACGUGUGGCGUUCCGAGAGUACCCGAAGAAAAAGCAUCGGCUAACUCCGUGCCAGCAGCCGCGGUAAUACGGAGGAUGCGAGCGUUAUCCGGAUUUAUUGGGUUUAAAGGGUGCGCAGGCGGAAGAUCAAGUCAGCGGUAAAAUUGAGAGGCUCAACCUCUUCGAGCCGUUGAAACUGGUUUUCUUGAGUGAGCGAGAAGUAUGCGGAAUGCGUGGUGUAGCGGUGAAAUGCAUAGAUAUCACGCAGAACUCCGAUUGCGAAGGCAGCAUACCGGCGCUCAACUGACGCUCAUGCACGAAAGUGUGGGUAUCGAACAGGAUUAGAUACCCUGGUAGUCCACACAGUAAACGAUGAAUACUAAUUGUUCGGGGAGAAUGAUCCCUGA
rnacentral:rRNA from 1 species